CACGUAGGCGGCUUUUCAAGUCAGGGGUGAAAUCCCGGGGCUCAACCCGGAACUGCCCUUGAAACUGGAUGGCUAGAAUACUGGAGAGGUGGGUGGAAUUCCGAGUGUAGAAGUGAAAUUCGUAGAUAUUCGGAAGAACACCAGUGGCGAAGGCGACUCACUGGACAGUUAUUGACGCUGAGGUGCGAAAGCGUGGGGAGCAAACA
rnacentral:rRNA from 1 species